UACGAAGGGGGCUAGCGUUGUUCGGAAUUACUGGGCGUAAAGCGCACGUAGGCGGCUUUGUAAGUUAGAGGUGAAAGCCCAGGGCUUAACCCUGGAAUUGCCUUUAAGACUGCAUCGCUCGAAUUGUGGAGAGGUGAGUGGAAUUCCGAGUGUAGAGGUGAAAUUCGUAGAUAUUCGGAAGAACACCAGUGGCGAAGGCGACUCACUGGACACAUAUUGACGCUGAGGUGCGAAAGCGUGGGGAGCAAACAGG
rnacentral:rRNA from 1 species